rnacentral:piRNA from 1 species
ACGAAUUGUGGUUUUUCUCAGA